GAUGAACGCUGGCGGCGUGCCUAAUACAUGCAAGUCGAGCGAACAGACGAGGAGCUUGCUCCUCUGACGUUAGCGGUGGACGGGUGAGUAACACGUGGAUAACCUACCUAUAAGACUGGGAUAACUUCGGGAAACCGGAGCUAAUACCGGAUAACAUGUUGAACCGCAUGGUUCAACAGUGAAAGACGGUCUUGCUGUCACUUAUAGAUGGAUCCGCGCCGCAUUAGCUAGUUGGUAAGGUAACGGCUUACCAAGGCAACGAUGCGUAGCCGACCUGAGAGGGGGGUCGGCCACACUGGAACUGAGACACGGUACAGACUCCUACGGGAGGCAGCAGUAGGGAAUCUUCCGCAAUGGGCGAAAGCCUGACGGAGCAACGCCGCGUGAGUGAAGAAGGUCUUCGGAUCGUAAAACUCUGUUAUUAGGGAAGAACAAAUGUGUAAGUAACUAUGCACGUCUUGACGGUACCUAAUCAGAAAGCCACGGCUAACUACGUGCCAGCCGCCGCAGUAA
rnacentral:rRNA from 1 species